rnacentral:rRNA from 1 species
AGUGAACGCUGGCGGUAGGCCUAACACAUGCAAGUCGAACGGCAGCACAGUAAGAGCUUGCUCUUACGGGUGGCGAGUGGCGGACGGGUGAGGAAUACAUCGGAAUCUACUUUUUCGUGGGGGAUAACGUAGGGAAACUUACGCUAAUACCGCAUACGACCUACGGGUGAAAGCAGGGGAUCUUCGGACCUUGCGCGAUUGAAUGAGCCGAUGUCGGAUUAGCUAGUUGGCGGGGUAAAGGCCCACCAAGGCGACGAUCCGUAGCUGGUCUGAGAGGAUGAUCAGCCACACUGGAACUGAGACACGGUCCAGACUCCUACGGGAGGCAGCAGUGGGGAAUAUUGGACAAUGGGCGCAAGCCUGAUCCAGCCAUACUGCGUGGGUGAAGAAGGCCUUCGGGUUGUAAAGCCCCUUUGUUGGGAAAGAAAAGCAGCAGGUUAAUACCCCGCUGUUCUGACGGUACCCAAAGAAUAAGCACCGGCUAACUUCGUG